GACGAACGCUGGCGGCGUGCUUAACACAUGCAAGUCGAACGGAAAGGCCCUGCUUUUGUGGGGUGCUCGAGUGGCGAACGGGUGCGUAACACGUGAGUAACCUGCCCUUGACUUUGGGAUAACUUCAGGAAACUGGGGCUAAUACCGGAUAGGAGCUCCUGCUGCAUGGUGGGGGUUGGAAAGUUUCGGCGGUUGGGGAUGGACUCGCGGCUUAUCUGCUUGUUGGUGGGGUAGUGGCUUACCAAGGCUUUGACGGGUAGCCGGCCUGUGAGGGUGACCGGCCACAUUGGGACUGAGAUACGGACCAGACUCCUACGGGAGGCAGCAGGGGGGAAUAUGGCACAAUGGGCGGAAGCCUGAUGCAGCAACGCCGCGUGCGGGAUGACGGCCUGCGGGUUGUAAACCGCUUUCGCCUGUGACGAAGCGUGAGUGACGGUAAUGGGUAAAGAAGCACCGGCUAACUACGUG
rnacentral:rRNA from 1 species